GCCCUCGUAGCUCAGUUGGAUAGAGCAGCGGAUUCCUAAUCCGCAGGUCGCACGUUCAAAUCGUGUCGGGGGUA
rnacentral:tRNA from 1 species